rnacentral:rRNA from 1 species
UACGUAGGGUGCUAAGCGUUGUUCGGAAUCAUUGGGCGUAAAGCGCGUGUAGGUGGUUUGUUAAGUCGAUUGUGAAAUCCCUGGGCUCAACCGAGGAAGUGCAGUCGAAACUAACUGGCUAGAAGAUGGUAGAGGAAGGUGGAAUUCCAAGUGUAGAGGUGAAAUUCGUAGAUAUUUGGAGGAAUACCGGCGGCGAAGGCGGCCUUCUGGGCCAUUCUUGACACUGAGACGCGAAAGCGUGGGUAGCAAACAGG